rnacentral:lncRNA from 1 species
CCUUAUUUACACUUCGGAUAGUGUCUUGAACGCACGAACAAAACGCCGCUAUUUGGAUAUAACUAUGGAUUAUUUUGAACCAAACCAACAUUUGUUAUUGAAGUAGCAGUCCUGGGAGUGCAUUCUGAUGAAGAACACCAAAGGACCUGAGCCCUUGGACCAUGCCUCAGGACUACCUGGCAUGAUGACUCCUUGCUGUCCCCAGUCCACCUGGCUGUGCUGCUGCUCCAGUUUCAACUGUUCUGCCUGCGGCUAUGGAACCCUGACCUGUUCACCGGACGUGCUACCUGUUGCACCCUCGACAACUACUGUAGUUGCUACUCUCGCUGAAUAUACCAC